rnacentral:lncRNA from 1 species
GAAACAAUAUGUUUUAAAACUCAUUUUGGCUGUGUUUUGAAAAAUGAGUUAAUCUUGAAAAUCUGGAAACAAGAACUUUUGAUUAAAAAGCUAUUGCACUAAAUUUUGAUAAAAAUUAUUGUGGCUAGAAUAGGACAAUAGACUAUUUAUAAGAAAGAGGUGAAUUAUUUCACAAUGGUCUCUACUGGAGAAUAGUUAGAAACCAUUACCUGUUAUGAAAACUCUUGUCUCCAUUACUACUUCUGGUCAAGUAACUGAAUACAUUUACAGUUAGGAGAUGCAAAACUAUUGAAAGAAAUUUAGUAAUGACUUAAAGUACUAUGAUCUCUCACUUAAUCAUAUUAACUGAUGGUUCCUUACCUCAUUGUACCAUUAAUACUUAACCGUAGCAUCAGUUCAAAUGGCGACUGUCAUGUAAUCAUGCAGGCAACUUGGUUGGAACCUGUGAUCACUUGCAUAAGCCUUCCAAGGCUGUUGGCCAGAAAUAGGAGGGGUGGAAUUAGGAGACAUGCCUAGAAAAGCCAGUAGCAAGCACUUGGCCACAUGGCCACACCUCACUGCAGUGAGGAUGGUACGGUAUUUAGUUGGGCAGCUGCUCUAGAAGAAAUGACCAAAGUACUAGAGGAUGCUGUUCUCACUACUGCAACACUGUUUGAAAGCAGUUUUCAACAGAGGAAUUUUUGAUAGGACAGUUAGGAUAGCCAUCUUUGAAGAAGUAAAUUGGAACUAAGAUUUGAAGGUGAAGAAAGAAAAUGUAAUGAAGACCCAGACAAAGAAUUUUACAGUAGGAGAAGAUUAGUUGAUGGUAAGCACCCUGGCAUUUUUCAAAGUCUGAAAUUCUAUAGUAGGGUCACAGGAAUAAGAUCCUCAGUAUACAAGCUUAUUGUAAGGCUGAGUUAAGUUUUAUUUAUUUGCAGUGGGACGUGAUCUGGUUUUCUUUUUGAAACAAAAUGUUUUUUAAAAGAUGGAUGAGGCAAAGGCACUUUAGAGGUGAGAAAACCAAUAACUAUACUGUUGAGAUAAGUAUGUAAGCAGCAAUAAUAGCAGCUCUGCUGUAGAAAUUAUUUAAUCCUGACCUGGAGUUUUUAGCCUGCCUUAGAUCAUUCAGUUCCCGUAUAAAACACACACAAACACACACACACACACACACACACACACACACACACACACACACAUCCUUUAUAUUUAUAAUAAGCCUUAAACAGCACAAGAGCUGGGCUUUUAGAAUCUACUUUCCUAUCCGUAUACCUGAGUUAUUAUUUACUAAGUUUUAUCUGGGCUGCUCUUAACUCCAACUGACCAGCCCUCGGGGCCACGUUUUUAUGGCUCACUUAACUGCCCAUGGUGUUUUCUCCUUCCUCCUGCAUCACAGCUCACUCUUUGGUUGUUGCUGUUGAAAUUGUAAAAGUGUUGCAUUUAAGAUGACUUUCUUGAUCUUUGGGUAGAUACGAUGGCAUACUACCUGUCAUCUUAGCGCUUAGGAACUUUGAGGCCUACCUGUGGGCUUCCUGUGGGAUACCUGGGGAGACCAUGCUCAUUCCCCACCCAUAAGAGCAAAGAAAGGCCCUGGAUUGUUUUCCUGCAGCAGCUAGGUAGGUGUUAACAGAAUGAUCGGCAUUUGUCACAACCUUACGGUUUUCUUUCUUAUCUCAAAAAAAUACUACAAAUUAUAGUAUGAAAGAAAUCACUGAAGAUUUUAUUAUGUUUUGUUUGAGAAAUUUAAGUAUUUUAAAUCUUGCUUCCUUUACAUGAAUCUAGAUAGGAACCACCAUAACCAAAUCAACCUCUCCAAGCUCUGACCUCCUAAGAGCCUAUAGAAGAGACACAUUGAAAUACACCACCAAACAAAAAUAUCUGGCAAAAACUAACAUUUUAGAAAUACUUAGAAAACAAUUAACUGAUAAAUAAUUUGUGAUACAUUUACAACUACAUUUUGUGCAGUUUUGUGUUUAAUCAUCUUGCAAGUUGACUAUUCUAAAUUUGAUAAAGGUGGCUAACCAAACUUAAAGCUAAAAAUGACCAUGUAAUAAGUUACAUAAAAUUUAAUAUAUGUCAUGUAAACUAAUCUUUUGUUUAAACUUUUCUCUUAAAUAAAUUUCAUCACUUAAAUAUUUGUAGUUUCUUUAUACUUUAUUUUCUAAAUUUAAAAAUUAUAGAUUUGUAUUAAUUUAAAUAUUUCUUUGAGAGUAUAGUUAAUCUAGCCUCAGUCUUACAGCAUAGGCUUAAAGUGCUCAUAGACCCUUUGAACAAUUGAAAAGCUAGUUCUCGCAUGUUUUCCAGGCUUUCUUCCCCUACCCAGAAGACUCACAUGUCACCUUAUGUUACAUUUAAGUGCUGGCUUUAUGUUUGGGUUCAUGUUAAAGAAUGUUUUGACUUUUGACUGAAGUAAAGAGAGUUUUAAUAAGACAGUGGAAGCAAGUCAAGAUUAAUUAUUGAAAGUGGAGACUAGACUUUAUGUUGGGAGCUCUUUUGCUGUGUAUGAAAUAAUAGUAUAUAGUUAAGAAAAAUUGAAACACUUUAACUAUAUGAAGAUAAGUGAUACCAGGAAAUAAGCAAGGAAAAUUUACUAAGUCAAAUAUACUCAAUUUUCAUUUGCUUCAUAGACAUUUUAGCCAGAUGUGUUACAUGCCUAACUUUCAGUUCUUGGGGCCACAGUUGGGAAAAGUCACUGGAAACUCAAGGCCACUCUAACUACAAAGCAAUCCCAGGACAGCCAGGGAUGGAAUAGUGAGGCUUUGCUUGAAAUUAAACCAAACGAAAAAGCUUUAAACUCUCAUUUGUUAACUUUCAGUGUGGUCAGUGGUCAGUGUCAACGGAAGUUUUUCUUUUUUGGGGGGGGGGGUUCUGGAAAUAUGAUGCCCAAAUUGAUAACCUAAGAGUAUUGGUGCUCAAAUUAUUUAGAGAAAUUUGGCCAGGUUAGGACAGAGCAGUUCAGAUACAUCCUAGGCUUUCUGGAAACUUAGACCUGUGGUUGCUAAGAGAAAGCUGCUGGGUUAAAUUGUGGGCAUUUUUUUUUUUUUUUUCUUUCCUCCCCAAAUGAAUCCGAUUCAUCCAGUCUCAGGUGAGUGAAUAGCUUUCCUGGGGAACUUGCUACCUGCCUUUGUUAUUCGGAAGACAGCUAAAAGAAUAAGGUUUAUAAAGAUCUAAAGAUGUAGUUACUCUGAAAUCUAUAAACCAUAGGUCCUGAUUUUUUAGGAUCAUCUUUAUUCAUAUGAAUCAUAAAGAAAGUGACUAUUGUCUAAUGUUUAGAAAUACUUUGCUGAAGCUGGGCAGUGUCUUUAAUCCUCAGCAUUUGGGAGACAGAAGCAGAUGGCUCUCUUGAGUUCAAGGUCAUCCUGGUUUACAGAGCAAGUUCCAGGCCAGAGCUACACAGAAAAAUUCUGUCUUGAAAAACAAAAAACAAAAACAACUUUGCUACUGAAAUUUGUACUGGACCAUGGUCAGACUUAGUGUUAUUAUAAAUUGGCUAGAUUUACAUAACCUCCAGUUAUAUAUAUUUUCUUUGUAGUUUUCUGAUGAAGCACCAUACCUGUAACUUGUAAUUCUGUGUAGUCUAGACCACAGAUAAUUAUUAUAUAGUCAACAUCUACUUUAUUUUUACAAAUCAGGGUGCAUCCAAAUGUGUUAAAUAUUAUCAAAGAUAUGCCUAACUAAACACUUUUGCUAGGGGCCAACUGUGGUGGCACCCACCUUGAUUCCUAGCAACAUGGAAAAGAGGCAAGAGGAUCUCUGAGUUCAAGGCUAGCCUGGUCUUUAUAUCAAGACCCUAUCUCAUCAACAAACAGCAAACUUUUGUUAUAAAGCACUUGCCUAGCACACGAGCCUUCUUCAAUCCACUCCUCAGACCCAAAACAAAACAAGUCAUUGGAUUAGGUAAUCUCAGCUUGAACUACAUUGUUUUUCUGCAGUUGUUCCUUUAUGAAUUACUAAUUUUUAAAGUUUUUAUGG